rnacentral:rRNA from 1 species
AUUGAACGCUGGCGGCAGGCCUAACACAUGCAAGUCGAGCGGAUGAAGGGAGCUUGCUCCUGGAUUCAGCGGCGGACGGGUGAGUAAUGCCUAGGAAUCUGCCUGGUAGUGGGGGAUAACGUCCGGAAACGGGCGCUAAUACCGCAUACGUCCUGAGGGAGAAAGUGGGGGAUCUUCGGACCUCACGCUAUCAGAUGAGCCUAGGUCGGAUUAGCUAGUUGGUGGGGUAAAGGCCUACCAAGGCGACGAUCCGUAACUGGUCUGAGAGGAUGAUCAGGCACAUGGGAACUGAGACACGGUCCAGACUCCUACGGGAGGCAGCAGUGGGGAAUAUUGGACAAUGGGCGAAAGCCUGAUCCAGCCAUGCCGCGUGUGUGAAGAAGGUCUUCGGAUUGUAAAGCACUUUAAGUUGGGAGGAAGGGCAGUAAGUUAAUACCUUGCUGUUUUGACGGUACCAACAGAAUAAGCACCGGCUAACUUCGUG